AUAAUUUUAGCGACUAGAACUGAGCAUUGCCGCUAUAUCUUUUUCUUACAUAGAACUUGCCUUGCUCCAUUGGUAAAUAAAGAAAAACAAUCAAAAAGGAAUCUUUCAUUCAUCAAAUUAUUUUUACGUUGGUAGGCAAUCAGAUCGUAAUUCUGCAAACUCAUUGUAAAUUCUAUGUUACUAAUCCGCUUUUUAGACAUAGAUAAUAUCUCAAAACAUAUUUUAGCCAUUUGUAAAUAAUAAUCAAAAUUCAAACUUCAAUUUGAGAAUGAUAAGCAUUGAUUCCUUCAUAAUUUUCAAUAAAUCAAUCUAAGAUGAGGUUUGUCUAUCCAAGAAACUUCAAACUGGUGUCGAUAUACAUAUCGAUGUACAUGUCGAUGUACAUAGUUAUGUCAUCAAUAAGAGACUCAAGUAUUAUUAUCUUGCAAAGAUUCCCUAAUUCUUGGCAUUAUAAAAUCAGGUUUAACUAAAAUUAUUUGUUAAAUCAAUUUUUUAUUGAUAUAAUAAUUACAAAUUGUUGAAGAAAUUGAACAGAAUUUCAAUAUUUUAUGAAUAUUAUAAUGAAGCUAUCGUUAGAAAUCGUUAAAAAUCAAACUAGUAUAAGUAACUCAUUAUGUAUAAAAUCAUCUUGAUGUUUCAAUGUUUGUUGUUGAUUAUUUUUGAAAUUUUCUUUUUCUUUUUCCCUUCAAUCUCUUGAAAGCAGACAACGCGUAUUACAGACCUCUACAAAAUUUACACGUAGGAAAAUUCAAAAUGUUAUAGAUAGUAAUUAUAAUUUAAUAUUGUGUGAGUUAUAAUUUCUCUCAGACAGAAAACUUAAUAUUCUUGAUUUUAUGAGCACUUUCUACAAAAGCUCAUUGACAUGACUGAGAUUUUAUGUAACAAAAUAAUAAUACAUCUACUCAUUUUGUAGGUCUGUAAUUAAAAGAUUAAUGACUGCACAUGUUUAUUAUAUUUUGUAAAAAUUAAUAUAUAGGUAGUAGAACAGAACAUGUCAAUUACUAAUGUUGUCAUUUUGAAAGAUCUCUUGAAUUUUAAGCUUCUUCUAUAUUUAAAGUGUCUGAAAAUGGUUGUGAUGAAAUGUUUUAAUAAUUGAUGUUGGCAUUUCUCAUUGUACCUUCAUUUUUUCUCACGAGAAAUUUCAAUGCAUUAUAUUCCUAGUGGCAAUAAUAUGCAGUUGGAUAAGACCUUGCUAUUUUCUGGUAGUAUAUUCCAAAUAUAUGUAUAUUUAUCCAGCAUACUAUGUUGCGUCCAUACAUUGUCUUUGGGCCAUAGACUGUUGCGUCCUGAAUAAUACUGCAUAUAAUUUUCGAUUCAAGAUUUUCCACAGCGAGCGAAGGAAGCACAACAUCGUACAUCGUCGACUUUGAAAAGGAGAAGCCACUUCAGCGAGUCAAGGUGUCCACCAGGUCUCUUUUGAUACAAGCACGAAAGCGGUACAAAAGAUCAGCAAGGAUCCUCAAGAGAAUCAAUUUUCAAUGAACAGG